UUCCAGCCCGAGAUGACGUCAAACACCGCUUCUCCCGCCGCUGCCAGCCUGCAAUAAAUACCAUGUUGCAAAAUGUCAACCUGGUGGCCGAACCGAAGCCACACCAGAUCGGUCGCAAACGUCCCAAUGUGGCCAAGACAAGCGGGGACUGAAAAAAUGGAAAACAAAAAAGAAAAUCAAAGACAAUGGAGGAAACAUAAUCCCCACCACUCAAGACGGCCACCUCAAGAACACCACCACCACCUCACCACCACUCCACCACCACUCCACCUCCACUCAGGCCACUCCAAUUUAAGCGCUUCGGAGUUCGUGAAGCACUUUUCGGGGCCAUAUUACCGCCGCACCUCCGUUUCAGACCAGCAAUCCCAGCUCGUUAAGGCGCGGCCCCAGCCAGGUAGGAAACGCACGUGUGUACUUCUGUCCCUUCUGUCCCCUUACCCGCCUCCCUUGACCCUUUGUACCACCCUUUGGAGUCCCUGUGGAGUGUCCGUAGGAGUGUAUAUAUCCCUUAACGUAUCUUUUGGCGUAUCCUUCCCUCUGGAGUAUCACCCACCUUUAGGAUUUUCCCCCUCGAUUGCCCUUUAGAAACGCCCCUUCAAGUACUGUAUGGAGUGUAGCCUUUGUACUGCCCUUUGGAUGGAUGUCCCUUAUGUGUUAGUUGUGUCACUUUGAACCAGCCAAGAAGAACCUGUUGUUGUCUUGCUCAAUACUGAAUGACCACAAAACUUGAACGAUUCGCUAGCCAUCCAUGCAACCACACUGGAUCGUUGGUAGAAAGAGUUUGUAGUUGUGUGUUCCUCGUAUAUUCCUUCUAUUUCAUGUGAUUCUUUGGCUUGUGUUUCAGGUGUGUGUUCUGUAAUAUAUUGUGUUUCUGAAGCGAAGGAUUUGGUAUCUGUUUCGAAGAAAGUACUUGAUGUUAGCCGUCUUUUUUUUCUUGUUUCUUAAUCGAUUUCACGAUCGUAAACACCUGUAACUGACCUGGGGGGAUUAUUUUACUUAUAUAUGAUGCGUUUUGACGAAAGGAAGAGGAAAAGAAAGAGCAAGGAAGGGAAGAAUGGAGAUUAAAAAAUGAAGAGAAUGAGAGGAGAAAGAUAAAGAGAGAGGAAAAGGAAGACUAAGAAAUGAACAAAAGACUCCAAGACAAGACGGUAGAAAUGUAAGAAAGAGCCUAGAAAAAUGAAGCAUAUAUUUUUUCCACUCAUAAUAUUUGUAGCGAUAAACAGAAGGGGGAAAGCAAGGCGGAUCGGAUGUAGUAAAAUAACUUAAAAGAGUAAAAGUAAACAAAGUAAACACUAUUUCUUCUCUCUACGCAUGAUGUGGAGACAAAGAGGAAAGAAACUUGAGCAAGGAAAGGACGAAGUAAUGGUAGAUAGGACGGAAAAGGAUGUAAUUUGAGUUGAUAGACUGCGCCAUUAUAUGUAUUUUUAUUACUACGGUACUUAGAGUGACCAGACGAAGAGUAGCGAUAAAACAAAAAAGACAUGAGAUAGACGAUUGAAUAGGAGAUAAAGAGACAAAAGGAUGCAAGGUGGGAAUGAAGAGAUCCAGUGUGAAAUGUUGGACAAGGGGACCAUUGUAUUUUUUUUAUAAUUAUACUCAGUGUCCCAUCGAGGAAUGAAAAUAAAACCAGUAUUGAAUAACGAUUGCAAGGAAGAUAAGAGGACAAAUAAAUAGGAGAUAAGAUUGAAGGAGCAUAGUUUUGUAUGCUAGAAAAGGGCACCGUUGUAGUUUUCUAUUUUUACUCAGAGUUCAGGCGAAGAGUAGUGAAUGAAGAUGAAUGAAUCAGUAAUGAAAUGAGUCGUGUAAGACGCGUAGAGUUUAUCAGUUUAACAGACGUUGCGAAGGAAAUUAAUACUCAAUCAGUUAAUGUGUGUGCGAUAGUGGCUCGUUUGACUUGUACAGAGACAUCGUACUGAUUAAUAAAGAAACACGUGGGUUAAAGGAAAAUUAAUAAUGUUCCUUUCAAUAAGUGGCGAAAGUAAGUGUUGUGUAAUCAAUGUGUGUGUGACAGUUUAUUUACAUCCAGUACUGCGGUGACGAUUUACUAAAGAAAGAUAUACGUAACAGUAAGAAAAGUCACCCUCUACAAAAGAUAUAUUAACGUAAGAAAAGAGUUUGUCCCCCUACACAAAAAACAACGCCUCUGUUCAGGAUCCUUAACGUGAGAAAAGAAUCUGUCCCGCCUCCCUUCCACCCACAAAAACCGCCUCUCGCCGCGUUCCGCAAUCAGUGUGUGAGCGACAGUGGCUUCUUUAUCUUGUAUUGGGGCGUCGAGCGGCGGGUCGGCGGCCUGUUCAAGGGGAUGAUUCGUGUCCGACGCCCAAGAGACCCGGGCGGCGCGAGGCUCAGCUCAAGACACUAUCGCGCGGCUGACUGGCGGAGGGACGGACGGCGAGGCGAGUAGAGUGGGCCGCUGCCGCCACUUUCUCACCCGCCUCACGCUCCUUCCCUCGCGCCUGUUUUUACUGGAUAAAGACUGACCAAGGGACUGGACGAAGGCUUAUAGUAGCUCCCACAAAAUCACUGCUGCCGCGAAAAGACGAUGCUAAAAGGACGCUAUUAAAUCUAUUUGUAUUUUUGAGAUAUUUCUUUCUUCAUACGUCACUUGCACGCCAUAAUUUUCACAUUAGCUUCGAAAAACGUGAAGGAAACACAUUGACUAUUAUUUGAUAAGCCACAAAAAAGUAACAUUUGAAUACUUUGUUUUAUAUAUCAUGCAAAUAUUAAUGUUGAUGCCGUUGAUGCUAAUAAUAAUGAUAAGGACGAUGAUAAUGAUAACAAUAAUAAAAAUAAUAAUAAUAAUAAUAAUAAUAAUAAUAAUAAUAAUAAUAAUAAUAAUAAUAAUAAUAAUAAUAAUAAUAAUAAUAACAAUAAUAAUAAUAAUACGAAUGAUGCAGCAUAAACAAUUCGUUGAGCAAAUUGUUUGAGUCUAGUUCUAAAUUCUCUAGUUUUUAUAAGGUAUCUCUUCAACACCACCACCACCACUACCACCAUCACCUCAACCACCACUCACCCUCACCACCACAAACACUAACCACUGACCACUAACAUCACCACCAUGAACACUUACCACUACGUAUCUAUCCCACCAAAUAUAUCACCACAAUUAGCACCAUAACCACCAAUAUCCACCACCACCCACCACCACCACCGACACGCACAUUCAUUACCACACCAGCACACCUCCACACCCCCUCGAAAACAAACUUAGGGCGGCGGGAGAACAGUAAGUAAGCAGGGGCGUUAGGAGAGAAGGGUCGCGCGGCCUCAUUUUCCCGCAUAAUACGAGAUCCAUAAAAUUAUCCCUAGUUUGCCCUUCCCGCCCGCCCGCCCCUACAAACACGCCCUGGUGGUUGGUCUCAUUUAUUUAGAUGAUAUUCACACUUCCAGGUAUACAGCAACCGAGGGAGAGAAAAAAAAUACAGGUGCGAGAGAGCGAACCAGAGCGAGUGAGAGAGGAAAAAAAUAAAGGAAAUUGGGUGUGGAAAAAUAUAUAUAUAUACUCGAAUAGGAAUGGAACAGGAAUGAAAUGUAAUAGCGGCUGAGAAUAUUAAUGGAAAGGAAACAUAUACAGAUACAUUUUUUUUAUUUGUUUAUUUAUUUGUUUAUUCAUAUAUUUUUUUUUUAUCUUUGAGCUUUCCCACCACACCAAUACGAUGAUCAUUUGGUUAUUUUUUACGUUGAUUUGGCUUUCAUUUUAAUAUUAUUCGUAUCGUUUCUCUUUUAAUUUGUUUCUUUUUUACUUCUUUUCAAAUUAGUUCA